UGACUAUUCCAGGUACUUCAUAAGAGUGGAAUUAUAGAGUAUUUGUCCUUUUGUGUGGACGACUAAUUUUGCUGGCAGUAUGAUAAGGAACAAUCUGAAUGACAUGUAAACAGGAGGGGGUAAAUUCCCAGCAUACCCUGAAUGAAAAGUGCAACUCGUUUCACAUAACCCAGACGUCUUUUUAACACAUCAGUACAGUCACCAUCUAAAACCAGGUGCUGUUCCCAAAGGAGAAAACACUGCCCUCCAGUGGUCUUCAGUGGAGAAAUGGAAAUAGUUUCAGGUGGAAACCAGGCUUCUUGGAAGACUUCAAACUAUGCCAAAUGGUCUGAUUUCACCAUAGAGAUUAUCUGCUGAGGAAUGCACCUGCAUUAGUAGAAGAAAACCAGGCUACAGCUCCUUAUCAUUUAGCAAGCAUUUAAAAGGUUUAUAAAGAUAGUGCAAUUAUGUAUUUAAGCUGGUUCAUCACAAGUUCUUGCCUUUCACUCCCACCCUGUGGCUUACAAUGGUAUUACAUUUAUUCUGACAUUCAAAAAUCAACAUUAAAGAACAUGUGAUAA